CCUUAGUCUAGGUUAGGCUAGCAUUGCCUUAGACUUAUGACCCGUGUGGGCUGGAUAGCCUUGACUUGCUGCCGACGUCGUUCGGAUGACUUAGCUCCUUGUAGACUGGAAUAGCAGACUUGAGUCUGAUAGUUUGAGCCUUAGAUUAGGCGUUAUCGCUACUUGCUGCACUUAUGUAUCUUCUCCCUCUUAUUCUGCGGUUUCGACGCAUUCUCGAAGAUUUGGUGCAUCCC
rnacentral:lncRNA from 1 species